rnacentral:rRNA from 1 species
AGUGAACGCUGGCGGUAGGCCUAACACAUGCAAGUCGAACGGCAGCACAGUAAGAGCUUGCUCUUACGGGUGGCGAGUGGCGGACGGGUGAGGAAUACAUCGGAAUCUACUUUUUCGUGGGGGAUAACGUAGGGAAACUUACGCUAAUACCGCAUACGACCUACGGGUGAAAGCAGGGGAUCUUCGGACCUUGCGCGAUUGAAUGAGCCGAUGUCGGAUUAGCUAGUUGGCGGGGUAAAGGCCCACCAAGGCGACGAUCCGUAGCUGGUCUGAGAGGAUGAUCAGCCACACUGGAACUGAGACACGGUCCAGACUCCUACGGGAGGCAGCAGUGGGGAAUAUUGGACAAUGGGCGCAAGCCUGAUCCAGCCAUACCGCGUGGGUGAAGAAGGCCUUCGGGUUGUAAGGCCCUUUUGUUGGGAAAGAAAUACAGCCGGCUAAUACCUGGUUGGGAUGACGGUACCCAAAGAAUAAGCACCGGCUAACUUCGUG